AUUGAACGCUGGCGGCAUGCUUUACACAUGCAAGUCGGACGAGUGGCGAACGGGUGAGUAACGCAUCGGAACGUACCGAGUACAGGGGGAUAACUGUCCGAAAGGCCAGCUAAUACCGCAUAUUAUUCGAGCAGCCGAUGUAUGAUUAGCUGGUUGGCGGGGUAAAGGCCCACCAAGGCGACGAUCAGUAGCGGGUCUGAGAGGAUGAUCAGCCACACUGGAACUGAGACACGGCCCAGACGCCUACGGGAGGCAGCAGUGGGGAAUAUUGCGCAAUGGGGGCAACCCUGACGCAGCCAUGCCGCGUGAAUGAAGAAGGCCUUCGGGUUGGAAAGUUCUUUCGGUAGCGAGGCGUUACCUACAGAAGAAGCACCGGCUAACUCCGUGCCAGCAGCCGCGGUAAUUC
rnacentral:rRNA from 1 species